rnacentral:rRNA from 1 species
UACGAAGGGGGCUAGCGUUGCUCGGAAUUACUGGGCGUAAAGGGCGCGUAGGCGGACAUUUAAGUCAGACGUGAAAUCCCUCGGCUUAACCGGGGAACUGCAUCUGAUACUGGAUGGCUUGAGUUCGGAAGAGGGAUGCGGAAUUCCAGGUGUAGCGGUGAAAUGCGUAGAUAUCUGGAGGAACACCGGUGGCGAAGGCGGCAUCCUGGACCGACACUGACGCUGAGGAGCGAAAGCCAGUGGAGCAAACGGG